rnacentral:rRNA from 1 species
GACGAACGCUGGCGGCGUGCCUAAUACAUGCAAGUCGAACGAGAGCGCCCGGUGCUUGCACUGGUCAAUCUAGUGGCGAACGGGUGAGUAACACGUGGGUAACCUGCCCAUCAGAGGGGGAUAACAUCCGGAAACGGAUGCUAAAACCGCAUAGGUCUUCGAGCCGCAUGGCUUGAAGAGGAAAAGAGGCGCAAGCUUCUGCUGAUGGAUGGACCCGCGGUGCAUUAGCUAGUUGGUGAGGUAACGGCUCACCAAGGCCGUGAUGCAUAGCCGACCUGAGAGGGUGAUCGGCCACAUUGGGACUGAGACACGGCCCAAACUCCUACGGGAGGCAGCAGUAGGGAAUCUUCCGCAAUGGACGCAAGUCUGACGGAGCAACGCCGCGUGAGUGAAGAAGGUUUUCGGAUCGUAAAACUCUGUUGUUAGAGAAGAACAAGUGCUAGAGUAACUGUUAGCGCCUUGACGGUAUCUAACCAGAAGGCCACGGCUAACUACGUG